rnacentral:tRNA from 1 species
GGCGGAACUGGCAGACGCAGCGGACUUAAAAUCCGCGGCCCGCAAGGGCGUGUGGGUUCGACCCCCACC